AGCCAGACUCCUACGGGAGGCAGCAGUGGGGAAUAUUGCACAAUGGGGGAAACCCUGAUGCAGCGACGCCGCGUGAAGGACGAAGUAUUUCGGUACGUAAACUUCUAUCAGCAGGGAAGAAAAUGACGGUACCUGACCAAGAAGCCCCGGCUAACUACGUGCCAGCAGCCGCGGUAAUACGUAGGGGGCAAGCGUUAUCCGGAUUUACUGGGUGUAAAGGGAGCGUAGACGGCCAUGCAAGUCUGAUGUGAAACCCCGGGCUCAACCCCGGGACUGCAUUGGAAACUGUGCGGCUGGAGUGUCGGAGAGGCAAGUGGAAUUCCUAGUGUAGCGGUGAAAUGCGUAGAUAUUAGGAGGAACACCAGUGGCGAAGGCGGCUUGCUGGACGACGACUGACGUUGAGGCUCGAAAGCGUGGGGAGCAAACAGGAUUAGAUACCCCGGUAUAU
rnacentral:rRNA from 1 species